UCACUGCACGGCGGCCGCGCUGGGUCACACUCCGCAGGAGGACUGAACGCGAAGCGGAAAAUGUCCGCCGUCACCAUAGAAACCAAUAUGGUCUCCUCCCCGUGACUGUGAAUAAUAUCUGGAAUAAUCACUGCAACCACAAUGUGAACCAGCGGAUUAGACCGACAACUGGCAGUAAAGGCAGAAGGGGGCGGUAUAGACAAGGAUUCAUGAAGUCAGAGGAAUCACAAGAGACGAGCAGGAUCGGGAACGCAGCUCUGGGUGUAAUUAGAGAACAAAGAAGACCAGAAAUAUAGUCUUCUCCUAAAAAGGUAAUGACUUCCUGCUGGGCUUGUGCUUAUACACAGCAGCCAACCUUAUAAAGCAGAGCUGCAGGGAAAAGUACAGAGAAGAGAAAGAUCGUCAGCCUGAACCUCUGAUUUUUGCCCCGUAUGCGGUUUUCCCACCGGAGCUAAAACUGUGGUAGACCAAAGGAGCAGAGCCGCAGUGUAAAGCAUAAGGGAAAGACACAUCAGUAGCCUGAGCCUUUGAUGAGACAGCAGGUGGAUAAAAGAUUAAAGGGGUACUCCAGCCCUGAGACAUCUAAUCCCCUAUCCAAAGGAUACGGGAUAAAAUGUCUCACCACGGGGGUCCCGCUGCUUGUAUUCGCCACCCACCUGUUUGAGCUGCACGCGGCGGUGCCAGCUCACAAACAGCCGGAUGGCAACCACGGGGCCGGAGUAUCGUGACGUCACCCCCCGCCCGCGCUAUGCAAGUCUAUGGGAGGGGGCGUGAAGGCCAUUUUAAUCCUUCCAGUAUUUUAUAGGGGCUGUAUACCACAGA